rnacentral:lncRNA from 1 species
UUUUCCUGAAGUUUUCAGGUGCCAAACAGAAUUUCAUGGGUCACCAGUUGAGAACGAAAAAAAAAAGUGAAAAAAGUGAUGGAACCCAGGAGUCAUGACAUCUACUGUGAAAAACGACCAGUGAAUCUAAACAUCUACAAGGAGGUGUACUUGCAGAGAAUCAGAUUCUGGCAGAGAGGCAGAAUUUGGCAUAUCACCUGGACAUAACUCACUGCAGGUAACUGGCUACAUUCUAUGAACCAAUCAAUGUCACGAAAAAGAAAUACAGUGCAUUUAGGUGAUGUGAACAAGUUAUACCAAAGUUCUUUUUUUUUUCUUUAUUUACUAAACUGCAGAAAGAAAACCAAAUAAACUGGACCAAUUGUACA